GCAGCCGUGGCCUACUGGUCAGGGCUUUGGGCUUGUGACCGGAGGGUUGCCGGUUUGAUCCCCGACCCAGAAGUG
rnacentral:tRNA from 1 species